rnacentral:rRNA from 1 species
CCUACGGGGAGCAGCAGUGGGGAAUAUUGGGCAAUGGGCGCAAGCCUGACCCAGCAACGCCGCGUGAAGGAAGAAGGCUUUCGGGUUGUAAACUUCUUUUGUCAGGGACGAAGCAAGUGAUGGUACCUGACGAAUAAGCCACGGCUAACUACGUGCCAGCAGCCGCGGUAAUACGUAGGUGGCAAGCGUUAUCCGGAUUUAUUGGGUGUAAAGGGUGUGUAGGCGGGCAUGCAAGUCAGAUGUGAAAACUAUGGGCUCAACCCAUAGACUGCAUUUGAAACUGUAUUUCUUGAGUGCUGGAGAGGCAAUCGGAAUUCCGUGUGUAGCGGUGAAAUGCGUAGAUAUCCGGAGGAACACCAGUGGCGAAGGCGGAUUGCUGGACAGUAACUGACGCUGAGGCGCGAAAGCGUGGGGAGCAAACAGGAUUAGAUACCCCUGUAGUC